UCCCGCCGAGCCGCGGCCUCCGACGUGCCGGAACUCCCAGACGGUAACUUUGAGAGUCGCGUCUCCGACCCGGGCUCUGUGGGCCUCAUGCUUGUGGAGUUCUUCGCCCGCUGCUGUGGAAGCUGCUAGAGACUUGCCCUGAGCAUGAAGCUGCAGCUACCUGAUUAAAAGGAAGAGUCCCAUUCGCAAAGCUUGAUUGCACUGCAAACACUAACACCUGUAGUAAAUAUGGAGUCAGUGGCUAUCCAACCCUGAAGACAGAGAUGGUGAAGAAGCAGGUGCUUAUGAUGGACCUAGGACUGCUGAUGGAGUUGGCAGCCACCUGAAGAAGCAGGCAGGCCCAGCUUCAGUGCCUCUCAAGACUGAGGAAGAAUUUAAGAAAUUCGUUAGUGAUAAAGAUGUCUCCGUUGUAGGUUUUUUCAAGGUUUCAUUCAGUGAAGCUCACUCUUGAGUUCCCAAAAGCAGCCAGCAACUGGAGGGAUAACUAUCAAUUUGCACAAAGGAAUGUUGGGUCUCUGGUGAAUGAGUAUGAUGAUGACGGAGAGGGUAUCUCCUUAUUUCGUCCUUGACAUCUGACUAACAAGUUUGAGGACAAGACUGCGGCUUAUACAGAGCAGAAAAUGACCAGUGGCAAAAUUAAAAAGUUUACCCAGGAAAACAUUUUUGGUAUUUGCCCUUACAUGACAGAAGACAAUAAAGAUUUGAUUCUGGGCAAGGACUUACUGCUUACUAUGAUGUGGACUGUGAAAAGAAUGCGAAAGGUUCCGACUGCUGGAGAAACAGGGUAAUGAUGGUGGCAAAGAAAUUCCCGGAUGCUGGGCACAAACUCAAGUUUGCUGUAGCUAGCUGCAAAACCUUUAGCCAUGAACUUUCUGAUUUUGGCUUGGAAAGCGCUGCUGGAGAGAUUCCUGUUGUUGCCAUCAGAACUGCUAAAAGAGAGAAGUUUGUCAUGCAGGGAGAGUUCUCGCAUUUUGGCAGGGCUCUGGAGAGGUUCCUGCAGGAUUAAUUUGAUGGCAAUCUGAAGAGACACCUGAAGUCUGAACUGAUCCCAGAGAGCAAUGAUGGUCCUGUAAAGGUAGUGGUAGCAGAGAAUUUUGAUGAAAUAGUGAAUAAUGAAGAUAAAGAUGUGCUGAUUGAAUUUUAUGCUCCUUGGUGUGGUCACUGUAAGAAUCUGGAGCCUAAGUAUAAAGAACUUGGAGAGAUGCUCAGCAAAGACCCAAAUAUUGUCAUAGCCAAGAUGGAUGCCACAACCAAUGACGUGCCUUCUCCACAUGAAUAA